UACAGAGGUCCCAAGCGUUGUUCGGAUUCAUUGGGCGUAAAGGGUGCGUAGGCGGCGCGGUAAGUCGGGUGUGAAAUCUCGGGGCUUAACUCCGAAACUGCAUUCGAUACUGCCGUGCUUGAGGACUGGAGAGGAGACUGGAAUUUACGGUGUAGCGGUGAAAUGCGUAGAGAUCGGGAGGAAUACCGGUGGCGAAAGCGACUCUCUGGACGGCAACUGACGCUGAGGCACGAAAGCGUGGGGGAGCAAACAGG
rnacentral:rRNA from 1 species